UACGUAGGUGGCAAGCGUUGUCCGGAUUUAUUGGGCGUAAAGGGCGCGCAGGUGGUGUGCUAAGUCUGCCGUGAAAUCUCCCGGCUCAACUGGGAGGACUGCGGUGGAGACGUGGCACGCUUGAGGUACCUAGAGGUCGGUGGAAUUCCCGGUGUAGUGGUGAAAUGCGUAGAGAUCGGGAGGAACACCAGUGGCGAAGGCGGCCGGCUGGGGGUGACCUGACGCUGGAGGCG
rnacentral:rRNA from 1 species